UACAGAGGUCCCAAGCGUUGUUCGGAUUCACUGGGCGUAAAGGGUGCGUAGGCGGUCGGGGAAGUCUGAUGUGAAAUCUCACAGCUUAACUGUGAAACUGCAUUGGAUACUAUCCGGCUAGAGGAAUGGAGGGGAGACUGGAAUACUUGGUGUAGCAGUGAAAUGCGUAGAUAUCAAGUGGAACACCAGUGGCGAAGGCGGCUCACUGGCCCGAUACUGACGCUGAGGCACGAAAGCGUGGGGAGCAAACAGG
rnacentral:rRNA from 1 species